UUUUAAUUCCUAAGUCCUUUUUAUAUAAUGAUGCUACGUGUUUUGAUGAUGGGUGUUUAAAUAGACGAGUAGAUAUUAAAAUUUAUUGGAAGGCCCAAAUCAUUUUGAUUGUAAAAUAAAUAAAAUAUUAUAAAUAAAUGAAUUAGUUAAAAUAUUUAGGAUUUGAUGAUAAUCUCAUCACAACCCCUAUUAAUUAAAAUAUAUAAUAAUCUUGGGGUCUAAUGAUAAUUUCAUUUUAUACCUCAUAAGGAAAGGCAAUUAGAUAAUUAAUUAAAAUUGUUUCAGGACUAAUGAUAAUUGUAUCUUAGACUUUAGGCUUUAAAACUUAAAGUUUUGUUAGGA
rnacentral:misc_RNA from 1 species